rnacentral:miRNA from 1 species
UGGAAGAACGAACAAGACUGUA